ensembl:lncRNA
CCGCCGGCCACUGCAGGGUCAUCUAUAGUGGUGUACGGUUGUGUGUGUGUGUGAAUGGCGGGUGCAGUUAUUCUUCAGCUGUGGAGCUGUUUGUUUUGCACUCUGCACAGAUUCCAGCUGCUGUCAUAAAUCUUCUCCUCGGCCUGAUGUGGGAUGGAUUCCUGCGUCAUUAAAAGGUUGAUUUGUUUGAAUAAAUGUGCACAAAACAUGGUAAACAGGAAAGCUUCGUCUUUUUCUGAGUGAAUCACACAGUUCGUCAUGUUUCACAGAGCUUCGUGCUAAUUCUGAGGAAGUUGGAGUCCAUGAACAUGACUAAUUUAUUGUACAAGAAGAAGAAGUUAGCUGAUGGUCAAAUGGCUGAAAGGAUAUCAGCUUCUGGAAGUCCUAAAUGCCAUAAUGACCAAAUGAGUGCAGUGAAAGAAACUAACAACAGUUCUAAAAGGAAGGUUUCAGCCAGAGGUGGUCCAGAAUCAAUCUUAGCUUCAAGAGGAAGUGGAGCUGGUAUUAUUUUCAUCUAGAGGCUGUGGAGGAUGUUCUGACUGGCCAGAGGAGUCCAGAGGAGACUGGGAGAAGGAGCUGUGGAGAGCGGGCAGGCAGGUACACUGCAGGUGAGAAUUCCUUGGAUAGCUGGUAGCUAUUGUGAUAACAAUUUAUGAUAACAAAUUGAAGUGAGAGCAGGUUUGGACUGAGGAAUGUCCACAACAGCAGAGGAACGUCAUUAGAAAAAUUACUGGAGGCAGAUAAGAGCGAAAGGUUAAGCAGGGCAUGACACAAAACUUGUUCUAAGCAUGAGGGCGCCGAUUAGCACUACUGUAGUGACAACAG